GAUGAACGCUGGCGGCGUGCCUAACACAUGCAAGUCGAGCGAUCGGACGAGAAGCUUGCUUCUCUGAUACUAGUGGCGGACGGGUGAGUAACACGUGGAUAGCCUAGCUUUAAUACUGGGAUAACUUCGGGAAACCGUAGCUGACACCGGAUAAUAUUCUGAACCUCACGGUUCAUCAGUGAAAGACGGUCUUGCUGUCACUUAUAGAUGGAUCCACGCUGCAUUAGCUAGUUGGUAAGGUAACGGCUUACCAAGGCAACGAUGCAUAGCCGACCUGAGAGGAUGAUCGGCCACACUGGGACUGAGACACGGUCCAGACUCCUACGGGAGGCAGCAGUGGGGAAUCUUCCGCAAUGGGCGCAAGCCUGACGCAGCCAUGCCGCGUGAGUGAAGAAGGUCUUCGGGUCGUAAAACUCUUUUAUUAGGGAAGAACAGAUUUUGGAUAAACUGUGCACAUCUUGACGGUACCUAAACAAAAAGCCACGGCUAACUACGUG
rnacentral:rRNA from 1 species